GUGUUUACUUUGGCAGUACAUAUACUAAAAUUGGAAUGCUACAGAGAAGAUUAGCAUGGUCCCUGUGUAAGGAUGGCACACAAAUUCGCGAAGCAUUCCGUAUUUUU
rnacentral:snRNA from 1 species